rnacentral:rRNA from 1 species
UACGUAGGGGGCAAGCGUUGUCCGGAAUCAUUGGGCGUAAAGCGCGUGUAGGCGGCUCGAUAAGUCUGCUGUGAAAGUCCAGGGCUCAACCCUGGGAUGCCGGUGGAUACUGUCGAGCUCGAGUCCGGAAGAGGCGAGUGGAAUUCCUGGUGUAGCGGUGAAAUGCGCAGAUAUCAGGAGGAACACCGAUGGCGAAGGCAGCUCGCUGGGACGAGACUGACGCUGAGACGCGAAAGCGUGGGGAGCAAACAGG